UGGGGAAUUUUGGACAAUGGGGGAAACCCUGAUCCAGCCAUCCCGCGUGUGCGAUGAUGGCCUUCGGGUUGUAAAGCACUUUUGUCAGGAAAGAAACGUCAUGGGUUAAUACCCCGUGAAACUGACGGUACCUGCAGAAUAAGCACCGGCUAACUACGUGCCAGCAGCCGCGGUAAUACGUAGGGUGCAAGCGUUACUCGGUAUUACUGGGCGUAAAGCGUGCGCAGGCGGUUCGGAAAGAAAGAUGUGAAAUCCCAGAGCUCAACUUUGGAACUGCAUUUGUAACUACCUGUCUAGAGUGUGUCAGAGGGAGGUGGAAUUCCGCGUGUAGCAGUGAAAUGCGUAGAUAUGCGGAGGAACACCGAUGGCGAAGGCAGCCUCCUGGGAUAACACUGACGCUCAUGCACGAAAGCGUGGGGAGCAAACAGG
rnacentral:rRNA from 1 species